rnacentral:rRNA from 1 species
CCUACGGGGGGCAGCAGUGGGGAAUAUUGCACAAUGGGCGCAAGCCUGAUGCAGCCAUGCCGCGUGUAUGAAGAAGGCCUUCGGGUUGUAAAGUACUUUCAGCGGGGAGGAAGGCGUUGAGGUUAAUAACCUCAGCAAUUGACGUUACCCGCAGAAGAAGCACCGGCUAACUCCGUGCCAGCAGCCGCGGUAAUACGGAGGGUGCAAGCGUUAAUCGGAAUUACUGGGCGUAAAGCGCACGCAGGCGGUCUGUCAAGUCGGAUGUGAAAUCCCCGGGCUCAACCUGGAAACUGCAUUCGAAACUGGCAGGCUGGAGUCUUGUAGAGGGGGGUAGAAUUCCGGGUGUAGCGGUGAAAUGCGUAGAGAUCUGGAGGAAUACCGGUGGCGAAGGCGGCCCCCUGGACAAAGUCUGACGCUCAGGUGCGAAAGCGUGGGGAGCAAACAGGAUUAGAUACCCCCGUAGUC